AGGGCACCACCAGGAGUGGGGCCUGCGGCUUAAUUUGACUCAACACGGGAAAACUCACCCGGCCCGGACACCGUAAGGAUUGACAGAUUGAGAGCUCUUUCUCGAUUCGGUAGGUGGUGGUGCAUGGCCGUUCUUAGUUGGUGGAGCGAUUUGUCUGGUUAAUUCCGAUAACGAACGAGACUCUAGCCUGCUAAAUAGUUCGCCGAUCGCAUUCUGUCGGCGCAACUUCUUAGAGGGACAAGUGGCGUUUAGCCGCACGAGACAGAGCAAUAACAGGCCUGUGAUGCCCUUAGAUGUCCGGGGCCGCACGCGCGCUACACUGAAGGAACCAGCGUGUGUCCCUGUCCGGCAGGACUGGGUAAUCCGUUGAACCUCCUUCGUGAUAGGGAUAGGGGCUUGUAAUUGUUCCCCUUGAACGAGGAAUUCCCAGUAAGCGUGAAUCAUCAGUUCACGUUGAUUACGUCCCUGGCCUUUGUACACACCGCCCGUCGCUACUACUGAUUGGAUGACUUAAUGAGG
rnacentral:rRNA from 1 species